rnacentral:rRNA from 1 species
UACAGAGGGGGGCAAGCGUUGUUCGGAAUUACUGGGCGUAAAGGGCGCGUAGGCGGCCUGUUAAGUCGGACGUGAAAUCCCUCGGCUCAACCGGGGAACUGCGUCCGAUACUGGCGGGCUUGAAUUCGGGAGAGGGAUGUGGAAUUCCAGGUGUAGCGGUGAAAUGCGUAGAUAUCUGGAGGAACACCGGUGGCGAAGGCGGCAUCCUGGACCGACACUGACACUGAGGAGCGAAAGCCAGGGGAGCAAACGGG